GGCAGGUAGACUAGGGGCGGCAGGUAGACUGGAGGCAGGUAGACUAGGAGAAGGUAUACAAGGGGCAGGUAGACUGGAGGAAGGUAGACUGGAGGCAGGUAGACUAGGAGAAGGUAGACUAGGAGAAGGUAUACAAGGGGCAGGUAGACUGGAGGAAGGUAGACUGGAGACAGGUAGACUAGGAGAAGGUAGACUAGGAGAAGGUAUACAAGGGGCAGGUAGACUAGGGGCAGGUAGACUGGAGGCAGGUAGACUAGGAGAAGGUAGACUAGGAGAAGAUAUACACGGGGCAGGUAGACUAGGGGCAGGUAGACUAGGGGCGGCAGGUAGACUAGAGGCAGGUAGUCUAGGAGAAGGUAUACAAGGGGCAGGUAGACUAGGGGCGGCAGGUAGACUGGAGGCAGGUAGUCUAGUAGAAGGUAUACAAGGGGCAGGUAGACUAGGGGUGGCAGGUAGACUAGAGGCAGGUAGUCUAGUAGAAGGUAUACAAGGGGCAGGUAGACUAGGGGAGGCAGGUAGACUGGAGGCAGGUAGACUGGAGGCAGGUAGACUGGAGGCAGGUAGACUAGGGGUGGCAGGUAGACUGGAGACAGGUAGACUAGGAGAAGGUAGACUAGGAGAAGGUAUACAAGGGGCAGGUAGACUGGAGGCAGGUAGACUGGAGGCAGGUAGACUAGGGGCAGGUAGACUGGAGGCAGGUAGACUAGGGGCAGGUAAACUAGGGGCGGCAUGUAGACUAGGAGAAGGUAUAAAAGGAGAAGGUAUACAAGGGGCAGGUAGACUGGAGGCAGGUAGACUGGAGGCAGGUAGACUAGGAGAAGGUAGACUAGGGGCAGGUAGACUAGAGGAGGCAGGUAGACUAGAGGAGGCAGGUAGACUAGGAGAAUGUAUACAAGGGGCAGGUACACUAGGAGAAUGUAUACAAGGGGCAGGUAGACUAGGGGCAG
ensembl:lncRNA